rnacentral:rRNA from 1 species
UCCACGCCGUAAACGAUGGAUACUAGCUGUCAGGACUUCGGUCUUGGCGGCCAAGCGAAAGUGAUAAGUAUCCCACCUGGGGAGUACGUUCGCAAGAAUGAAACUCAAAGGAAUCGACGGGGGCCCGCACAAGCGGUGGAGCAUGUGGUUUAAUUCGAUGAUACGCGAGGAACCUUACCAGGGCUUAAAUGUAGAUUGCAUUAGGCAGAGAUGCUUAUUUCUUCGGACUAUCUACAAGG